GUUGAUAAGUAUAGUUUUUUAAACAAUUUGUUAGAGGUAUAAGUAUUUUAGUAGUGUUUACGAAAUCUCUUUUUUACUAUAGAAAAUUAGUACUGUGAAGGAAAUAUUGAAAUAUGUGAAAAUUUUUCAUAAUAAAAGUACUUAUAAGUUAAGGUACCUUUUGUAUUAGUGGUUAUUAAAAUGAAAUUAAAAAAUUUUUUCUCGAAAAUAAAAGAUCUAAGCAAGUUUGAAAGUUUUUGUAUCAGAAAAAUUUUUGAAGUUUGUUUAGUGGUGAAAUUCUAAUCGCUUUUAUUAAUAUCUAGUAACUUUAGAAAUAAAUUUAUUUUAAAACAUUUAGGAAAACUUUAUUCUUAAGUUAUUCUUAAGGUGUUUUUAGAUUUUAGGGGAUGAGCUCUAAAAUCAUUUUAUAAGAUGAAAUCUUGGUGUUUUUUAUAUAGGCUUAGAAUUAGCCAUUAGAAAGUGUUAUAAAAUAUAAGAUUAGGUUUAAGAUUUAUUUUUCUUUUGGUAAUAUAAAGUUAUUUUAAAAAUUUUUUUAGAAAAGAAAACAUGAUAACAUUAGUAGAUAAAAAUAUAAAGAAAAAGUUUUGAAUUUUUCUUAAAAAUUUUUAAAAAUAAAUUUAACAAAAGAACUCGGCAAAAAGAAUUUCCGAAUGUUUAACAAAAACAUUUCCUCUUGGUAAAUGAGGUAAGGCCUGCUCACUGAAUAUUAAAGAGCCGCAGUAUCCUAACUGUGCUAAGGUAGCAUAAUCAUUAGUCUUUUAAUUGGAGACUGGUAUGAAUGGCUAAACGAGAAAUUGACUUUUUUUGUUAUAAAAAUUGAAUUUAAUUUUUUAGUGAAAAAGCUAAAAUUUUUCAGAAAGACGAGAAGACCCUAUAGAGUUUUAUAUCUUUUAGUACUUUAUCUGAUUUGAUUUUUACAGAUAGAGUGUGAAAUAGGUAUUUUGUUGGGGCGACAUUAAGAUAUAAAAAACUCUUUUUUUUAGAAAUUUUUAUGAAAGUAUUCUUGAUCCUCUAAAAGAGAUCAAAAGAAAAAAUUACCUUAGGGAUAACAGCGUAAUCUUUUUUGAGAGUUCUAAUCGACAAAAAGGUUUGCGACCUCGAUGUUGGACUAAAAUUUAGGCAGGGUGCAGCAGUUCUGCUUUAAGGUCUGUUCGACCUAUAAUAUUUUACACGAUCUGAGUUCAGACCGGCGUGAGCCAGGUUGGUUUCUAUCUUCUGAUUUUUGUGUUUCAGCUUAGUACGAAAGGAUUGGUUGAUUGUAAUUUUUACAAAUUUAAGGAGGAUCUUUAAAAUAAAAUUUAU
rnacentral:rRNA from 1 species